rnacentral:lncRNA from 1 species
GUUGUAGAACAGUCUGUGAAUGUAGUAAUUAGUCCCUUUUGCUUCAUUCAUGCACCUGACUUGGCAUAAGGGGGUUUAUAUCAUUAACAGAAUGUGUUAAUUUAAUGUAUUCCACCAUCACUCAGAUCUGAGAAUCUUCCCAUUCAUUCUACAAACUCAUUAAUAUAACAAAUGUGGGGAAGACAUUUAUCGUCAUCUCUAGCCCAUCACUUUCCUACUUGUGUUAUACUGAACAAGAUGCUUAACUGCUCCAUACUAGAAUUUCUUCAUUUGUAAAAUUAUAAUACUGUGGCAGAGUAAAAAUUGCUGCAAAUUAUUUGACACUCCAUCUGUCAAGAAGUAAAAUCCACAUGCUUUCCCUAUGAAUCUGGGUCAACUGACUGCUUUGAGCAGUAGAAUAGUAGAAGUACUGCUGUGCUAGUUUCUGGACCCAGAUUUUACUGGUAGAUUUUACCUCAUCUCUUGGAAUACUCUCUCAAGUUGAGACCUUAAACUGUUACAUUAAAAAGUCUGGAUACUCUGCUGAAGACACCACAUGAAGAGGCCCUGAGACUACAUAAAGAAGGAGAGGCACUCUGCUGUGCCGUCUUCCAGAUAUGCCCACGAAAACGCCAGAUAUUUGAGUAAACAGUUUGGAUGCUCCAGACCAGCCAUCAGCUGAGUUCCUACUGGUGACCUCAGUUGAUGCCAUGUAGAACAAAAACAAUUGACCAGCUGAGCCCCUACCCAAAUUCUUGACCCACACAAUCAUGAGAUACAAUGGUUGUUAUUUUAAUCUACUAAAUUUUGUUUUAUUAUGUUACUGUCUUGAAAAUCCAUAUGAAAGACUAUGAGCACAAUGAAUAUAGAAAUGCCUUCUAUCAACACUCAUCAGUUAUUGAAUGUCAGAUAACUUAUUCAUUUUUUAAAUAUUUUUUCAUUAUCAGUGAAGGAAAAAGAAGAUAGAAGAUCUCAUACUUCUUAAGAAUUUGUGGUGGAGAAACAGCUUGCUGAAGGCUUGUGUGCACUGUUUCAUUUCUUUGGGACUUCUUUUGGUUAAUUUAUUCCUUUCCAGAUAUUUUUGGGUAAAAAUUUAAUCUUAUCUGCAGUCACAAGAUGGUUCAUAACAUGUAGCGCUGUGUUUCAGGGAUGCUAGUUUUCUUACUGUCUCAUUCACAUGGCAUAAAUUUGCUUGCUCUGGGCUUCCUCUGCUGGUCCAGUGGUUAAGAAUC